rnacentral:pre_miRNA from 1 species
AAUGGUUCAAAGGAGCUUCUGUCAGCCCAUUCAUGGACGAUACUGGGGGUUGAACUAGCUGCCGACUCAUUCGUUUAGCCACUAAGUAGAUUACAGGAUGUUUUAUGCUACUGUGAUUGAAUGAAUGAUGCGGGAGAUAGUUUCAUGUCCCUCUUUCUCUGUGCUUGGACUGAAGGGAGCUCCUCUUGCUGUUGCC